rnacentral:rRNA from 1 species
UACGAAGGGGGCUAGCGUUGUUCGGAAUUACUGGGUGUAAAGGGUUCGUAGGCGGUGCGGCAAGUCGGGAGUGAAAUCUCUGGGCUCAACCCAGAGGCUGCUUCCGAAACUGCUGUGCUUGAGUGUGAGAGAGGCUCGUGGAAUUGCAGGUGUAGCGGUGAAAUGCGUAGAUAUCUGCAGGAACACCCGUGGCGAAAGCGGCGCACUGGACCACAACUGACGCUGAGGAACGAAAGCUAGGGGAGCAAACAGG